CCUACGGGGGGCAGCAGUGGGGAAUAUUGCACAAUGGGCGAAAGCCUGAUGCAGCGACGCCGCGUGAAGGAUGAAGUAUUUCGGUAUGUAAACUUCUAUCAGCAGGGAAGAAAAUGACGGUACCUGACUAAGAAGCCCCGGCUAACUACGUGCCAGCAGCCGCGGUAAUACGUAGGGGGCAAGCGUUAUCCGGAUUUACUGGGUGUAAAGGGAGCGUAGACGGUGUGGCAAGUCUGAUGUGAAAGGCAUGGGCUCAACCUGUGGACUGCAUUGGAAACUGUCAUACUUGAGUGCCGGAGGGGUAAGCGGAAUUCCUAGUGUAGCGGUGAAAUGCGUAGAUAUUAGGAGGAACACCAGUGGCGAAGGCGGCUCUCUGGACUGUAACUGACACUGAGGCACGAAAGCGUGGGGAGCAAACAGGAUU
rnacentral:rRNA from 1 species